rnacentral:rRNA from 1 species
CCUACGGGAGGCAGCAGUAAGGAAUAUUGGUCAAUGGGCGCAAGCCUGAACCAGCCAUGCCGCGUGCAGGAAGACGGCCCUAUGGGUUGUAAACUGCUUUUGAACAAGAGAAAACCUCGGUACGUGUACCGAGCUGAUAGUAUUGUUAGAAUAAGCAUCGGCUAACUUCGUGCCAGCAGCCGCGGUAAGACGAAGGAUGCAAGCGUUAUCCGGAUUCAUUGGGUUUAAAGGGUGCGUAGGCGGCCUGAUAAGUCAGUGGUGAAAUCUCUCAGCUUAACUGAGAAACUGCCAUUGAUACUGUCGGGCUUGAGUACAGAUGAUGUGGGCGGAAUAUGACAUGUAGUGGUGAAAUACUUAGAUAUGUCAUAGAACACCGAUUGCGAAGGCAGCUCACAAAACUGUAACUGACGCUGAGGCACGAAAGUGCGGGGAUCAAACAGGAUUAGAUACCCUGGUAGUCCGCACCGUAAACGAUANAUACUCGUUGUUGUGAUAUGACGUCGAGCGACCGAACGACGAAAGACGAAGUAAGUAAAGUUACACCGUACGGGUUAGGUUACGGCCGGCCGACGGAGGAACGACGAAGAAGUUAGACGGACGNGAGAGNGCGACGGACGACGACGAGGAGGAGG